GUCAGCAGGGAUAGCACAUUGAAUGCUCCAGUUCCCAGUGGAUUACUGAAGUUAAGCAACACUGGGCGUGGUUAGUACACGGAUGGGUGACCGUCUGGUCAAUCGCACUCAGGCUGGGU
rnacentral:rRNA from 1 species